rnacentral:rRNA from 1 species
CCGGUACGGGCCAUGAGAGUGGUAGCCCGGAGAUGGACACUGAGAUAGGGGUCCAGGCCCUACGGGGCGCAGCAGGCGCGAAAACUCCACACUGUACGUAAGUACGAUGGGGUUACCUCGAGUGUAGUCUGUAAAAGAUUGCUUUUCCAUAGAGUAAUAUCCUGUGGGAAUAAGAGGGGGGCAAGACUGGUGUCAGCCGCCGCGGUAACACCAGCCCCUCGAGUGGUAGGGACUUUUAUUUGGCCUAAAGCGUUCGUAGCCGUCUGUAACCGUUGCCCGUUAAAUCCAGCGUCUCAAGCGUUGGACUGCGGGCGAUACCUUACAGAUUGAGGGUGGGAUAGGUAAGCGGUAUUUCUGGGGUAGGGGCGAAAUCCUUUGAUCCCAGGAGGACCACCAGUGGCGAAGGCUGCUUACUAGAACACGCCUGACGGUCAGGAACGAAAGCUGGGGUAGCGAACCGGAUUAGAUACCCGGGUAGUCCCAGCUGUAAACGAUGCGCGCUAGGUGUUGGGUCGGCCAUGCGCCGCCCCAGUGCCGCAGGGAAGCCGUUAAGCGCGCCGCCUGGGGAGUACGGCCGCAAGGCUGAAACUUAAAGGAAUUGGCGGGGGAGCAC